UCAGGGGUCGGGUGCUCGGGGUCGUAGAAAUCCCCCAUCUUCGGAGGCGGCUGCGGCGGCAGCUGCUUCAUCAGGAGCUACUGGAGGCGGCGACGCGAGCCCCCUCCCCGCGGCAGGGCGACGCGAGGGAGGGGAGGGGAGGAGGCCGCAGGUCCGACCGCGGCGGCGGCGGCAGGGGCGGCCCGCGUCGCUUGCUCGCUUGCUCCCUCCCUCCCUCCGGCGCCCGCCCGCCGCUUUCUCCCCCACACUCUCACACCGUGAGCGACGCGUACCCCGCCCGCCCCUCAGCCGCACAGGCCCGGCCCCUUAAAGAGACACGCACUCGCCGCGCUUCCGCCGCCAGUCGUCGCGCUGGCAGCUGUGGGUUGACCUCAGAUCGGGACGGGAGGGGCGGGAAGGGUGGGAGAGGCUGGGCGCAGCCUGAAGACCCAGCCCGACUUUGCCUACGACUUCCCGGAACAAUAAGCCUCAGGCCCUAGAACUGUUGGCCCGCCCCGGACAGAGAGCCGCAGCGUCGCGACCCCUCCCUCGGGCCCGCUGAGGCGGCAGGGUGCUGAGGCGUGACCCGGUGCGUCCCGGGGUUGUCUACGCGCGACGUCGGAGGAACAUCCCGAGCCCCGCGGGACACCAACCUUCCUGCCCCACCGCCCUUGAAAACCAGCCCUUCGGGAGCGCCAGAGUCCGCAGCGGCGCCGAGGGCCCCUCCCCCAGGCCUGCGGGCUCUGAGGCAUGGCAUCCAGGUCCAGAGCCCAUCUGAUUCCCUUGGUUCAAGUCUCCCAUGGCUACUUCUUUAUGAACCAUGAAUAUUACCUAAUUUCUCUGCUUUUUCUCACUGUAAGAUGAGAAAAUUAUUGUGGACACGACCUCACUAUUGUGAGGAUCCAAUGAGAUAAUAUUUGUAAAGCUUUAAAUAUUCAAUAAAUGUCAGAACUUAUUCAGCCAUUAUAGUACAGGGAUUAAGAGCUGGUUCUACCUGGCAUUGUAUGCCAGCCCUGCCACUUUCUAGCUAUGUGACAUUAGGCAUGGUUACUUUUCCAGUGCUUCAUCAAUAAAAAGAGAUAUUUUCCACUGCACAACACUGCACAGAGUGUUGUGAUUAUUAAACUAAAAUGUAUGAAACAGGAAUUCCCAUUGUGGCUCAGCAGGUUAAGAACCCAACUAGUAUUCAUGAGGAUGCAGGUUCAAUCCUUGGCCUUGCUUAGUGGAUUAAGGAUCUGGUGUUGUCACAGCUGCAGCUUGGGUUGCAGCUGUGAUUUGGAUCAGAUCCCUGGCCCGGGAACUCCACAUGCCACAUGGCAGCCAAAAAAAGAAAAAAAAAAAUAAAAAAAAUAAAAUGUAUAAAAAUGCUUGCACAACGCCUCUCAUUGAGUCUUAUCUCUCAGACUUUGAAAGAAUAGAUUGGAGCCCUGUGCCUUAGAUGCCACAAAGGCCAUUGGGAGCUACUUGACACUGUUCAGACAGAAAAGGGAAAUUAUAGGUAGAGGUGGCUAAAAUAGUGUAUGAGGUGAUAGGGACCUAAACUGAGGUUAAUGAGAAAAAAGCAAUCAGUUACAGGUUUCCUGUUUCCUAAAUAAGAGACUGAAUAGGUCUCUUGCAGAAGUUGCAGGUGGUCUCUGUAAUACCUGUUCUUAAUAUAGCAUUAGUCUAGUUAAAACCUAAUGCAGUAAGGGUGCUGAACCAUGGAGGUCAGUGGGAAAUACUAAGCCCCAAACAUAAAUGAAUCUAGUUUUAUAGGCAAGACUGUUGGGAGGUUGAAUACUAUUAGAUACCCUCAUCUGCUAUCAUACCAAGAGCUCUUUGUACACACAUUUUAAAUUCAAAGAAGUGGAGUUCCCAUCGUGGCUCAGCAGAAACAAAUCUAACUAGUAUUCAUGAAGACACAGGUUCAAUCCCUGGCCUUGCUCAGUGGGUAAAGGAUCCGGCAUUGCUAUGAGCGGUGGGGUAGGUCUUAGACUCAGCUCAGAUCUGGCAUUCCUGUGGCUGUGGUGUAGGCCUGUGGCUACAGCUCUGAUUCGACCCGUAGCCUGGGAGCCUCCAUAUGCUGCGCCUGAACCCCUAAAAAGAGACCAAAAAAAAAAAAGCAAAAAGAGAAUGCAUCCUCGGAACACAUACUGGGGCCUAGCCUUUUGAUCAAAACUGUGGGGUAACUUAGUCUUUAGCCUAUAGUUUCUAGAUAUUGACUGUCUCCUACUUUCUUAUGUAAAAUCUUCUGCAGAUAAGUUUGAAGGAAAAAAUGUCAAAAGUCUUAAAAAGAAACAUAAGAGGUAUUCUGUUCUUAGUGUGCUAAAACCAUAAAAACCUUCAUAAUUGUUCCUGCCAUUACUGCUCCUGUAGGCCCAGAGCACCCCCAUCCCCAGGGACCCUAGGGUUGCCUGUAUUGACCCUGAAACAAAGUUGGCUGAGCAUCUGUUGCCAUUGGGGAGACAGAAAGCCAAAGAUCAGACAUUGCUCACAGUUAUGCUCCCAGCACCUGGAUGGGAAAAGAAAAAAUAUAAUUGAGGUGGAGGGGAGAACACUAAUUGCUUGAGCAUACUCUCCAAAACUACUAUUUGUAAACACAACAUUUUUUAUUAUUUUUUUGCCACCCUGCGCAUAUGGCAUUCCUGGGAUCCGAGCCACAGUUGCGACCUACUCUGCAGCUGUGGCAGCACUGGGGAUCGAACCUGCAUCCCAGGCUCCAAAGACUACAGCAGGAAUGCCUGUAAACAUUUUUGAGGUAAUAUGUUGACAAGACAGUUCUUAGGACUAAUACAACACAAAAGCAAUUAAAUCAAGACAAUGAGAGGUGUGCCCAAGCCAAAGCUCUGCUGCUUCAAAUGAGAACCUGGCUAAGGCUCUAGGAGAAAGAGAAAAGAUUGUUUCCCCUUGACCCUACAGCUGGAGCUGAGUGGGUAAGCUGCCCUUUCCUACUUACCCUUGCCUCUUCCCAUCCCAUAUUUCCUCACCAAAUCCUUCUGUCACCUGAGUAUUAUCAGAAAACUGUGUCAAGAGAUGCCAACUUCGGAAGGACAUGUAAGCCCCAGGCCUUCAGCCCUACAACUCCUCAAAGUUGCUGGCUUCGCCGGGAGGGGCAAGGUUGACAGUGGCAACAAAGCUGAUGUGGGCAGCGUGAGCGGGACAGUGUGAGCACGGCAGUGUGGAAAACCAUAUCUCUACCCAUGUGCUCCCACUAACACCCUCACAUUGAUAGAAUUAGGCCCAUUCUUAAGGUCCAUAGCCUGUGGUUAAUAAUGGUCUGCUGAUGUAUGAAAGAUUUAAUUUAAUAUCAGGAAGGAAUUUUGGAAGUACACAUGAAUGAUAUAAAAAAGGCUGGAUUAUAUCAAGAUCAAAUGUUUGAAAGUUGAGGCUGGGCGAUACAAGGUUUAUGAAGGUCAUAACAGUUUUAGAGAUACAUAAUCAAUUUCCUUGAUUAUUUAAAUAUUUUCAAUCUGUUCCCUGCUGUUAAUGAUCCUAUCAUCAGUUCUUUUCAAAUCCAGUGUUCUUUUUAAUAGAGAAUUGUGUUACAUAUUCCAAAAAUGUAUUUUUCUUGAUUUGGUCUCUAGGAAACCAAAACUUUCUGUUACUGUAACUGCAUAUUAAACAUAAAAUCAUGACUACAAAUGGGCACAUCUUAGCAUUAGAAUAAAAAUAUGAUGUGUGUUUCUAUAA